rnacentral:rRNA from 1 species
GAUGAACGCUGACAGAAUGCUUAACACAUGCAAGUCAACUUGAAUUUGGGUUUUUAACUUAGGUUUGGGUGGCGGACGGGUGAGUAACGCGUAAAGAACUUGCCUCACAGCUAGGGACGACAUUUGGAAACGAAUGCUAAUACCUAAUAUUAUGAUAAUAGGGCAUCCUAUAAUUAUGAAAGCUAUAAGCGCUGUGAGAGAUCUUUGCGUCCCAUUAGCUAGUUGGAGAGGUAACGGCUCACCAAGGCGAUGAUGGGUAGCCGGCCUGAGAGGGUGAUCGGCCACAAGGGGACUGAGACACGGCCCUUACUCCUACGGGAGGCAGCAGUGGGGAAUAUUGGACAAUGGACCAAGAGUCUGAUCCAGCAAUUCUGUGUGCACGAUGAAGUUUUUCGGAAUGUAAAGUGCUUUCAGUUGGGAAGAAAGAAAUGACGGUACCAACAGAAGAAGUGACGGCUAAAUACGUG